rnacentral:rRNA from 1 species
GACGAACGCUGGCGGCGUGCUUAACACAUGCAAGUCGAGCGGGGAUAUUGACUUCGGUUGAUAUUCUAGCGGCGGACGGGUGAGUAACGCGUGAACAAUCUGUCCCAGACAGGGGGAUAACACUUGGAAACAGGUGCUAAUACCGCAUAAGACCACGACACCACAUGGUGAUGGGGUAAAAGAAUUAUCGGUCUGGGGUGAGUUCGCGUCCGAUUAGCUAGUUGGUGAGGUAACGGCCCACCAAGGCGACGAUCGGUAGCCGACCUGAGAGGGUGAUCGGCCACAUUGGAACUGAGACACGGUCCAA